UACGGAGGGUGCGAGCGUUGUCCGGAAUCACUGGGCGUAAAGGGCGCGUAGGCGGUCCGGUAAGCGUGCGGUGAAAGCUUGGGGCUCAACCCCGAGUCGGCCGUGCGAACUGCAGGACUCGAGCACUGUAGAGGCAGGCGGAAUUCCGGGUGUAGCGGUGGAAUGCGUAGAGAUCCGGAAGAACACCGGUGGCGAAGGCGGCCUGCUGGGCAGUGGCUGACGCUGAGGCGCGACAGCGUGGGGAGCAAACAGG
rnacentral:rRNA from 1 species